rnacentral:rRNA from 1 species
UACGGAGGAUGCGAGCGUUAUCCGGAUUUAUUGGGUUUAAAGGGUGCGCAGGCGGUCAGUUAAGUCAGCGGUCAAAGCCCGGGGCUCAACCCCGGCCCGCCGUUGAAACUGGCAGUCUCGAGUUGGAGAGAAGUAUGCGGAAUGCGCGGUGUAGCGGUGAAAUGCAUAGAUAUCGCGCAGAACUCCGAUUGCGAAGGCAGCAUGCCGGCUCCACACUGACGCUGAGGCACGAAAGCGUGGGUAUCGAACAGG